GAUGAAGAACGUAGCGAAAUGCGAUAAGUAAUGUGAAUUGCAGAAUUCAGUGAAUCAUCGAAUCUUUGAACGCACCUUGCGCCCCUUGGUUAUUCCAAAGGGCAUGCCUGUUUGAGUAUCAUGAACACCUCAACUCUUGUGGUUUCCCACAAUGAGCUUGGACUGUGGAGGUUUUGUUGGCCCUGUGGUCAGCUCCUCUCAAAUGGAUCAGCUUACCGGUGUUUGGUGGCAUUACGGGUGUGAUAACUAUCUACGCUCGUGGUCGUCUCCAAAUAACCUCCAGUGAUGGAGGUUCGCUGGAGCUUAUAAAUGUCUCUCCCCAGUGAAGACAGCCAUUGAACGUUCGAUCUCAAAUCAGGUAGGACUACCCGCUGAACUUAAGCAUAUCAAUAAGCGGAGGA
rnacentral:misc_RNA from 1 species